ACUACACGAAGCCGGAAUCGCUAGUAAUCGCGGAUCAGAAUGCCGCGGUGAAUACGUUCCCGGGUCUUGUACACACCGCCCGUCACACCAUGGGAGUCGGAAAUGCCCGAAGUCGGUGACCCAACCGGAAGGAAGGAGCUGCCGAAGGUGGAGCCGGGUAACUGGGGUGAAGUCGUAACAAGGUAAC
rnacentral:rRNA from 1 species